CUACCAUAGCCCUCAACAUGGAUAGGUCUAUUUGGGUUAAGUGGAGCUUGUAGUGGUGGGAUUGGAUUUGGAUAGUGAGGUCUUUGGUCAAGUGGAGUUUGGAUGGGAGGGUUCGGGUUUGGUGAUGGUAUUUGGGUUCCAAGCCCUUCUUGUUGGACUUGGUGGAGUGGAGGAUGGCUUAGUCUAUCUUGUUCUCGGCUUUGGGAGUAAAGAUUGGUUUGAUUUAUGG
rnacentral:lncRNA from 1 species